GAGUUUGAUCCUGGCUCAGGACGAACGCUGGCGGCGUGCUUAACACAUGCAAGUCGAACGGAGCGAAAUGGAAGCUUGCUUCUAUGGAGCUUAGUGGCGAACGGGUGAGUAACGCGUAAUCAACCUGCCCUUCAGAGGGGGACAACAGUUGGAAACGACUGCUAAUACCGCAUACGAUUCAACUUCGGCAUCGAGGAUGAAUGAAAGGUGGCCUCUAUUUAUAAGCUAUCGCUGAAGGAGGGGAUUGCGUCUGAUUAGCUAGUUGGAGGGGUAACGGCCCACCAAGGCGAUGAUCAGUAGCCGGUCUGAGAGGAUGAACGGCCACAUUGGGACUGAGACACGGCCCAGACUCCUACGGGAGGCAGCAGAGGGGAAUCUUCCGCAAUGGACGAAAGUCUGACGGAGCAACGCCGCGUGAGUGAUGACGGCCUUCGGGUUGUAAAGCUCUGUUAAUCGGGACGAAAGGUCCUCUUGUGAAUAAUUAGAGGAAUUGACGGUACCGGAAUAGAAAGCCACGGCUAACUACGUGCCAGCAGCCGCGGUAAUACGUAGGUGGCAAGCGUUGUCCGGAAUUAUUGGGCGUAAAGCGCGCGCAGGCGGAUUAGUCAGUCUGUCUUAAAAGUUCGGGGCUUAACCCCGUGAUGGGAUGGAAACUGCUAAUCUAGAGUAUCGGAGA
rnacentral:rRNA from 1 species